rnacentral:rRNA from 1 species
UACGUAGGGGGCUAGCGUUGCUCGGAAUCACUGGGCGUAAAGCGCACGUAGGCGGAUCUUUAAGUCAGGGGUGAAAUCCUGGAGCUCAACUCCAGAACUGCCCUUGAUACUGGGGAUCUUGAGUCCGGAAGAGGUGAGUGGAACUCCGAGUGUAGAGGUGAAAUUCGUAGAUAUUCGGAAGAACACCAGUGGCGAAGGCGGCUCACUGGUCCGGUACUGACGCUGAGGUGCGAAAGCGUGGGGAGCAAACAGG